GGGGUUCUAGCUCAUCGGUAGAGCGCUCGCUUAGCAUCAUUCAAUGCCGGUUGCGAGAGGUACAGGAUUCGACUCCCUGGUACUCCA
rnacentral:tRNA from 3 species